rnacentral:rRNA from 1 species
GAUGAACGCUGGCGGCGUGUCUAAUACAUGCAAGUCGAGCGAACAGAUGAGGAGCUUGCUCCUCUGACGUUAGCGGCGGACGGGUGAGUAACACGUGGAUAACCUACCUAUAAGACUGGGAUAACUUCGGGAAACCGGAUCUAAAACCGGAUAAUAUAUUGAACCGCAUGGUUCAAUAGUGAAAGACGGUUUUGCUGUCACUUAUAGAUGGAUCCGCGCCGCAUUAGCUAGUUGGUAAGGUAACGGCUUACCAAGGCAACGAUGCGUAGCCGACCUGAGAGGGUGAUCGGCCACACUAGAACUGAGACACGGUCCAGACUCCUACGGGAGGCAGCAGUAGGGAAUCUUCCGCAAUGGGCGAAAGCCUGACGGAGCAACGCCGCGUGAGUGAUGAAGGUCUUCGGAUCGUAAAGCUCUGUUAUUAGGGAAGAACAAAUGUGUAAGUAACUAUGCACGUCUUGACGGUACCUAAUCAAAAAGCCACGGCUAACUACGUG